rnacentral:tRNA from 1 species
GCAUUAGUAGCUCAGUGCCAGAGCACCAGCCUUGUAAGCUGGGCGUCGGAGGUUAGAAUCCUCCCUACUGCU